UCGAGCGAACGGACGAGAAGCUUGCUUCUCUGAUGUUAGCGGCGGACGGGUGAGUAACACGUGGAUAACCUACCUAUAAGACUGGGAUAACUUCGGGAAACCGGAGCUAAUACCGGAUAAUAUUUUGAACCGCAUGGUUCAAAAGUGAAAGACGGUCUUGCUGUCACUUAUAGAUGGAUCCGCGCUGCAUUAGCUAGUUGGUAAGGUAACGGCUUACCAAGGCAACGAUGCAUAGCCGACCUGAGAGGGUGAUCGGCCACACUGGAACUGAGACACGGUCCAGACUCCUACGGGAGGCAGCAGUAGGGAAUCUUCCGCAAUGGGCGAAAGCCUGACGGAGCAACGCCGCGUGAGUGAUGAAGGUCUUCGGAUCGUAAAACUCUGUUAUUAGGGAAGAACAUAUGUGUAAGUAACUGUGCACAUCUUGACGGUACCUAAUCAGAAAGCCACGGCUAACUACGUGCCAGCAGCCGCGGUAAUACGUAGGUGGCAAGCGUUAUCCGGAAUUAUUGGGCGUAAAGCGCGCGUAGGCGGUUUUUUAAGUCUGAUGUGAAAGCCCACGGCUCAACCGUGGAGGGUCAUUGGAAACUGGAAAACUUGAGUGCAGAAGAGGAAAGUGGAAUUCCAUGUGUAGCGGUGAAAUGCGCAGAGAUAUGGAGGAACACCAGUGGCGAAGGCGACUUUCUGGUCUGUAACUGACGCUGAUGUGCGAA
rnacentral:rRNA from 1 species